rnacentral:rRNA from 1 species
GAUGAACGCUGGCGGCGUGCCUAAUACAUGCAAGUCGAGCGAACAGACGAGGAGCUUGCUCCUCUGACGUUAGCGGCGGACGGGUGAGUAACACGUGGAUAACCUACCUAUAAGACUGGGAUAACUUCGGGAAACCGGAGCUAAUACCGGAUAAUAUAUUGAACCGCAUGGUUCAAUAGUGAAAGACGGUUUUGCUGUCACUUAUAGAUGGAUCCGCGCCGCAUUAGCUAGUUGGUAAGGUAACGGCUUACCAAGGCAACGAUGCGUAGCCGACCUGAGAGGGUGAUCGGCCACACUGGAACUGAGACACGGUCCAGACCCCUACGGGAGGCAGGAGUAGGGAAUCUUCCGGAAUGGGCGAAAGCCUGACGGAGCAACGCCGCGUGAGUGAUGAAGGUCUUCGGAUCGUAAAACUCUGUUAUUAGGGAAGAACAAAUGUGUAAGUAACUAUGCACGUCUUGACGGUACCUAAUCAGAAAGCCACGGCUAACUACGUG